GGCUGUAGCUGGUUUUAUGAGAUAUCACGGUGCUGUGUCAUGCACCUGUGUAGCUGAGAGCAGAAUGUUCGCUGCGGAGAUGGAAAAAAAAAAAACAGGCACUGGAAGGGAUAUAAGCACAGUCCCCUUUUGUUAGCAAUGAAAGUGGAGCACAUGGCCUGGAGUAACUUUCUGAAAGAUCAUUGAAAGAAACUCACGAGUUUCUACUUUAUACCCGUAUCCUUUAAUCUUUUAGCUAAAAUUUCAUGUACCCAACGAAGUAACCGGAUUUAUUUUGCUUCCCACCAGCCAAGAUGUUAACCGGACCCUUCAGCUUUCCCUCUGCUCUCUGCCUUUAACCUGGGCCAAUUAGGUUGGGAACUACACUGCAGCAUGGCCUCGAAACAACACGCUUGCUCAGAAUUGUCCUUCGAAUGCUGCUGUUCUCCCACGGGAAUCGGAAAUCCCAGGGCCUGCAUGCUUAACCCUUUCCACACCAUGGACACGCCUCAGGUUCUAAAGAGCAAAGCAUGUCACUCAGGCAGACCAUGACCUUGGCUCCUAAUCCGGAAGGCCAGUUUCAGGGAUGCCCACGUGGAGAAGAGAAAAUGACCAGAGAACAAGUGUGCUCACAGCCCUUGUGGGAAUAAUCGUGCCCACCUGGGGGGCUUUUCUGAAGACACUCAGAGCCGACUAAGAUAGGGGAGCGGUCUUGUUUUCUUUGGUGGCUCAUCUCUGCCUCUGUUUCUCCAUCAGAUCACAGUGAAAGCUGUAGCCCACAGUGUUGCUCACGAUUUCAGAGGAGAAUUGAAAAUGAGGAGGAAUGGAAUAUUCGCAAGUGUCUACUUGUCAACAAAGCGUGCCAGGUGUGUUCUCUCAUCUCCGGGGAUCAGCAGCUUCCUGUAAUCUCCCUUUAUGCCUUUCAUUCACUCUAAUCACAAGGAUUUUACAAGAGGCCCUCCUUGACCCCAGGCAUGAGCUCGGCCCUUUAUUUGUAAGUGAACUCAGCAGUGUUCACUUAACACUUUUAAGGAUCUGCGCCCAGGGAAGGGGAAGCGUGGUCAGACAGCAGGCUCUCUGAACUCACCUUUCUGGACAAAGAUCUCCCUAGGCAUUGUACACGCCUCCUUCUUUUCUUUCCCCUUGAGCUGUCCGGGUUUCACAGCAAGUUAUAAAGCGAAGAGCCUCACCUGCCUUUGAGACCACCUCCCCUUGGCCCAGCUCAGUAGCUGGUCCUCAGGUAAGUGCAUGUUAAGUUCCCAGACUGUUCCAGAGAGGGUGACCGACUGUCCUGGUUUGCCAGGACUCUCCUGCCUGGGAGACCUCCCAGUGUGGGGCAGACUGGGACCAUCAGUCACCCUAGCAGGGGACAGUAGGGAUCCCCUGGCUGUUUCUUUAGCAACCUGAGCGGCUCACUUGGGAGGCUGCAUGGCCGAGCAGGCGAAGCACUUACAGUGGAAGCGAGGCCUGUGAUGCUGUCAACUUGCUUCUUAACCCUAGGAUGCUGUGAGAAUUAAAUUACAUAGUAGCUGCAAAAUAAUUUGGCUUUCUUGGAGUUGGACACCACCUGAACCUGAGUGAAAUGAUUGUGCACUUCUUAAUGGCCUCCAUCUCUGGCCAAGCUGCCUUGGGACCAGAACAAUCAUCUAAGUCCCAGUUUCCAGCCUAAAACAGCAUGAGGACAAGGCCAGGAGGCCACAGCAAGGCUGUAAUCAGAACCCACAAGGAUUGCAUGGAGAUGCUGCAGUGCCGCCACCACCCAACGGCCGGAGCCCCCAGCAAAGAGUUUUCCACAAAAUGGGAGAAAAGUAUAAGAAGCUCUUCCUGCUAUGGAGCCCCAAUACAAUGCUUCGUACCUAGAAGGCUCUCAGAAACAGAAAUCUGGUGAAUUAGUUAAAUUAUAUGCUUCUCUGCCCUCUGCCCUCCAUAAGAAAAAAAGAAAAGACCUAUAAAAGGCAUUCUGAACACUGGAGUUUGGCUCCUGUUUACCAUGUACAUCUAGAGAAGUGUACAAUUCGUGCUUGUAUGAAAUAAUGAAUGUUCACAAAGUGAGUAUACUUCUGUAAGCACUGCCUAAAUCAAAAGCAGCAAUGUGACCAGCCCCCCGGCCACCCUUGGUGCUCUCCCAAGCACUCCUCCACCAUCCUCUCCAACUGCAACCGCUAUCCUGAUUUCUAACACCCUAGGGGAGUUUUGCCUAGUUUUAAAUUUUACAUGAAUGGAGUCUCAUCAUAUGUAUUACUUUUACACUCAUAAUAUUUUCAAGAUAAGGAUAAAAAGCAAAAUUUUGGUCUUAUCACAAAGAUAUACCUGAGAUACACGAUCUUUAGAUUCUAAAUGACAAAGACUGAACUAAUCUAAAGGACAAAAAUGCAAACUGCAUUUUCACUUCUGGCUAAACUGAAUUUUUAAAAAAUUUCUCUUAUGCUUUCUUAUGUUUUAAUGAUCAUUCAUGAUAUUGCUUAAUUUCAGAGCAUAGAAAAUUGUGAAGUACAGUAGCAAAGACAUGGAAUCAACCUAAAUGCCCAUCAGUGGUUGACUAGAUAAAGAAAAUGUGGUACAUAUACACCAUAGAGUACUAUGCAGCCAUAAAAAGGAUGAUAUCAUGUCCUUUGCAGGAACGUGGAUGGAGCUGGAGGCCGUUAUCCUUAGCAAACUAAUGCAGGAACAGAAAACCAAAUACUGCUUGUUCUCAUUUGGAAACAAGGCAACUCAGAGGACUGAGAGACUCAGGACUUCCAGACAGAGGAUCAGGCGUACCUCAUGCAUGGGUGUUUUGGAAGAAGGCCAUUUUGAAACCUACUCUGUAUCAUUACAGACUUUCAGUGAAUUAAUUUAGAAUAAAUCCACCUCCUUCCCUGUAUGUGGUAGAAUUUCACUGGGAUACAACGUGAGGACAGAGAUUUGAACCCUCAGUCCCACUUAUGAUGCGGGGCUUCAGGGGCACCACGGACAUGCUCCGCAUUCACCCAUCUGUGGGGGAGGACUAAGGAAGCUGCGCUGGUGUGUGAGAAAGUAAUGGGCUCUUUUAAGCCCUUUUACUUAAAGCAAUAAAAGAAUAACUGCGUCAUCUGCUGGAGUAAAAGUUUUCAACAGAUGACCGGCUUGGUUCUUAAAACACACACACACACACACACACACACACGAGGAGUGAACCACACAGCAUGCAAAUGAGAGGAACAAACGCUUUUGUUUGUUGGAGAUUAAUUUUUAUGGAAAGUUGUACAUUGCAGAUUGCAAUCAACCUGACACAUUCUCUCCCUCCUGCUCCUUCUCUCAGUUGGCUUUGAGGAGAGGCACUUCCAAGUUUGAGAAUUCAUCUUGUCUGAUUAAUGAUGUGUACACAGAGAUUUCAGUCUCAUCUUCCUUCUCUGGGUCCUUUUUAUUCAGUUGUUUGCUGUGCUACAACCCUGCGGAUAGAUGGUUCUGCCGUGAUAAAUGUAAAGUUUGCAUAAGCCAUGUAACAGCAGGACAGCCUAUUAUCACCGUACAUUUUCCAUGGCUGUGCAAACCUCUGUAGGCUAUUUUAUUGCUAAUAGAUCCACAGAGAAACAGUAGUGAUUUUACGACUCUUUUUAAAAUGGAAAUUCAUGUUUGAGAAAUACAACUGGGAGGAAACAGAUGUAAACCACUUAAGCAUUUGCAGAAAAUUGAGAUGCACACUCUUAUUUACAGACCUACAUAGCCUCCAUCGCUUUAUUUUCAAAAUUAAAAUAAGCAAUCUGUUUACCAUGGGAAAUGAUGAACUGUAAACUUGUUGUUUUUCCUUUUACAUGGCAAUGGCCGCCAUCGUUGGGUUUAAUGGCAGAACUGAAGCAGGCAGCGUGGCAAUUUUUUCCCCUUAGGUUUUAUUGUCUGUAAUGCAUUCCCUCUGUAAUCUGCGCGAGAGGUAGGUAAGUGGGAAAGAUUUUCGUGUAACUGUAUGUCUGAAUUCACAUUAUGCUUGAACAGCUAAAAUGAUUACCAGACACAUUAGAAAGAUUUUAACCAGGUAUUUAACACUAUCUGUAAAUUGCUUAAAAUACUGGAAGAGUCAACCUCCACAAAAACGCUUUCACAUGGCCAAACACAAAAGCACAACCCAUCCAAAAACAUUUAUUCUGGCCUCGUCCCAACUUUCUCACAUCUUUUGGAGUUGUGACAAAUGUCACAUGUUGGAAAGGAGAUACAAAUGGAAGCAUCACAAAACAAUAUAGCAAUGAGAAGUCUGUCCACCAGACUCAUCAGAGCAAGCUCCUUGUGGCAUGUGGAAGCUCCUCUGGUUUUUAAUUUCAGCAUUGAUCUUUUUUUUUUUUUUUUUUUUUAGGUCUAGAACUACAUUUUUUGUUGCGGCAAAAUAUAUGCAACACAAAAUUGACCGUUUUAACCAUUUCUAAGUAUACAAUUCAGUGGCAUGAAAUGCAUUCACAUUGUCGUGCAACCAGCACCACCAUCCAGCUCCAGAACUUCAUCACAGACUGAAACUCUGUACCCAUGAAAGCAAAGACUCGCCAUUUCCCCCUCUUCUCCCAGCCCCUAGUAAUUUCUAUUCUACCUUCUGGCUGUAUGAAUUUGCCUAUCCUAGGCACCUCAUAUAAGUGGAAUUAUACAGUACUUGUCCCUUUGUAACUAGCUUAUUUCACUUAGCAUAAUGUCCUCAGGGUUCACCCAUGUUGUAGCAUGUAUCAGAAUGUCUUUCCUUUCUAAGGCUGAAUAAUAUUCCAUGGUGUGUAUAUACCACAUUUUGUUUAUCUGCCCUGUGUGGCUAGUCCUGGGAUUUUAAUAUUGAGGAGGUAUCCCCAUCAACCCGGGGAUGGAAGUGGCCUGCUUAUUCGUGAGCACUGCAAAGCAGGACGGCUAAGGAGAAUGAGAGGCGUCCAGACUAGGUCUGCAGAAUCAGGCAGGGAGGGCUCCUGGAAACUAUAGGUUUCUGGUCUCUGUAUAACAAUCACCAGCUGUGGGAAUAUUUUGCUUUCAUCCUUAAGCUUUGUUUUAAAUGUCAAAGGAGACUAAGCUAGACCCUCUUAGGAACUGAAAUUUUUCUCGGAGACAAGAUAUGAUGGACUUCGGCCCAAAGUCAGAUAACAGAAUGUGUUUCCAACCCCAUGCCUCCCCAAGCCACUCACUGCCACUGGGGAAGGCACUCGGGAGACUCCCUGAUCAUGGCCCUUGGAUUGCAUCAAAUGAGGCACAGCCACAGUGAGCAGGCUCUGAGCUCACUCACUCUUGGUGGAAACCAUACUAUAUGGAGA
rnacentral:lncRNA from 10 species